GACGAACGCUGGCGGCGUGCUUAACACAUGCAUUUCGAACGGAAAGGCCCUGCUUUUGUGGGGUGCUCGAGUGGCGAACGGGUGAGUAACACGUGAGUAACCUGCCCUUGACUUUGGGAUAACUUCAGGAAACUGGGGCUAAUACCGGAUAGGAGCUCCUGCUGCAUGGUGGGGGUUGGAAAGUUUCGGCGGUUGGGGAUGGACUCGCGGCUUAUCAGCUUGUUGGUGGGGUAGUGGCUUACCAAGGCUUUGACGGGUAGCCGGCCUGAGAGGGUGACCGGCCACAUUGGGACUGAGAUACGGCCCAGACUCCUACGGGAGGCAGCAGUGGGGAAUAUUGCACAAUGGGCGGAAGCCUGAUGCAGCAACGCCGCGUGCGGGAUGACGGCCUUCGGGUUGUAAACCGCUUUCGCCUGUGACGAAGCGUGAGUGACGGUAAUGGGUAAAGAAGCACCGGCUAACUACGUGCCAGCAGCCGCGGUGAUACGUAGGGUGCGAGCGUUGUCCGGAUUUAUUGGGCGUAAAGGGCUCGUAGGUGGUUGAUCGCGUCGGAAGUGUAAUCUUGGGGCUUAACCCUGAGCGUGCUUUCGAUACGGGUUGACUUGAGGAAGGUAGGGGAGAAUGGAAUCCCUGGUGGAGCGGUGGAAUGCGCAGAUAUCAGGAGGAACACCAGUGGCGAAGGCGGUUCUCUGGGCCUUUCCUGACGCUGAGGAGCGAAAGCGUGGGGAGCGAACAGGCUUAGAUACCCUGGUAGUCCACGCUGUAAACGGUGGGUACUAGGUGUGGGGUCCAUUCCACGGGUUCCGUGCCGUAGCUAACGCUUUAAGUACCCCGCCUGGGGAGUACGGCCGCAAGGCUAAAACUCAAAGGAAUUGACGGGGCCCCGCACAAGCGGCGGAGCAUGCGGAUUAAUUCGAUGCAACGCGUAGAACCUUACCUGGGUUUGACAUGGAUCGGGAGUGCUCAGAGAUGGGUGUGCCUCUUUUGGGGUCGGUUCACAGGUGGUGCAUGGCUGUCGUCAGCUCGUGUCGUGAGAUGUUGGGUUAAGUCCCGCAACGAGCGCAACCCUUGUUCACUGUUGCCAGCACGUUAUGGUGGGGACUCAGUGGAGACCGCCGGGGUCAACUCGGAGGAAGGUGGGGAUGACGUCAAGUCAUCAUGCCCCUUAUGUCCAGGGCUUCACGCAUGCUACAAUGGCUGGUACAGAGAGUGGCGAGCCUGUGAGGGUGAGCGAAUCUCGGAAAGCCGGUCUCAGUUCGGAUUGGGGUCUGCAACUCGACCUCAUGAAGUCGGAGUCGCUAGUAAUCGCAGAUCAGCAACGCUGCGGUGAAUACGUUCCCGGGGCU
rnacentral:rRNA from 1 species